rnacentral:rRNA from 1 species
GAUGAACGCUGGCGGCGUGCUUAACACAUGCAAGUCGAACGAAGAUGCCGGAGUGCUUGCACUUUGGCAGACUGAGUGGCGGACGGGUGAGUAACGCGUGGGUAACCUGCCUUAUACAGGGGGAUAACAGUUGGAAACGACUGCUAAUACCGCAUAAGCGCACGGUAUCGCAUGAUACAGUGUGAAAAACUCCGGUGGUAUAAGAUGGACCCGCGUCUGAUUAGCUAGUUGGUGAGGUAACGGCCCACCAAGGCGACGAUCAGUAGCCGGCCUGAGAGGGUGAACGGCCACAUUGGGACUGAGACACGGCCCAAAACUCCUACGGGAGCAGCAGUGGGGAAUAUUGCACAAUGGGGGAAACCCUGAUGCAGCGACGCCGCGUGAGUGAUGAAGUAUUUCGGUAUGUAAAACUNUAUCAGCAGGGAAGAUAAUGACGGUACCUGACUAAGAAGCAACCGGCUAAAUACGUGCCAGCAGCCG